UACGUAGGGUGCAAGCGUUGUCCGGAAUUAUUGGGCGUAAAGAGCUCGUAGGCGGUCUGUCGCGUCUGCUGUGAAAACUCGGGGCUUAACCCCGGGCCUGCGGUGGGUACGGGCAGACUAGAGUGAUGUAGGGGAGACUGGAAUUCCUGGUGUAGCGGUGAAAUGCGCAGAUAUCAGGAGGAACACCGAUGGCGAAGGCAGGUCUCUGGGCAUUAACUGACGCUGAGGAGCGAAAGCAUGGGGGAGCGAACAGG
rnacentral:rRNA from 1 species